rnacentral:rRNA from 3 species
GGGUUAGUAGGUUGGUCAUGCCUCUGGUAUGUACUGGUCUCACUGAUUCCUCCUUCCUGAUGAGCCGUAAUGCCAUUAAUUUGGUGUUGCGGGGAAUUUGGACUGUUACUUUGAAAAAAUUAGAGUGUUUAAAGCAAGCUAACGCUUGAAUACAUUAGCAUGGAAUAAUGAAAUAGGACGUUCGAUCCUAUUUUGUUGGUUUCUAGGAUUGACGUA